AUGGAGCUUUUUUGCCGCUCACUGUUGCUGCCGCGCGAUGCGACAUGGCGCUCGACCACGGCCGCCGGUGCUACGAUGCAGCAACUCGUCCAAGGCUGCGGUGCUGCAAUGCAACUUUGUUGGCGUGCUUGUGCUGCGACGCACCUCGUUGGUGUUGCCGGCGGCGGAGCUGCAAUGGAGCGCUCGCCGGCGGCUCCCCAUGCUCCGAUGCAGCACCCUCGCAGGCGGUUCCCGGUGCUGCAUCGCAGCGCUCGCCGGCGACUCGAUGUAGCGUUCUGUGCUUCUAUUGAACGCUCGUCGGCGCCCCUCGAAGCUGAGAUGCAGCGCUUGGUGCUGAAAUGGAGCUUCACCGGCGGCUCCCCGUGCUCCCAUGCAGCGCUUGCCGGAGCUCCCGGUGCUGCAUCACAGCGCACGCUGGCGGCUAGAUGCAGCGUUUAG
rnacentral:rRNA from 1 species